rnacentral:misc_RNA from 1 species
AAGAGACGUUGCCCUUCGGGGUAUACCUCCCACCCUUUGUUUAUUAUACCUUUGUUGGCUUUGGCGGGCCCGUCCUCGGACCACCGGCUCCUGCUGGUCAGUGCCCGCCAGAGGACCUAAAACUCUGUUUGUUAAUAUUGUCUGAGUACUAUAUAAUAGUUA